UACGAAGGGAGCUAGCGUUGUUCGGAAUCACUGGGCGUAAAGAGCUCGUAGGCGGUUUGUCGCGUCUGCUGUGAAAUCCCGAGGCUCAACCUCGGGCCUGCAGUGGGUACGGGCAGACUGGAGUGCGGUAGGGGAGAAUGGAAUUCCUGGUGUAGCGGUGGAAUGCGCAGAUAUCAGGAGGAACACCGAUGGCGAAGGCAGUUCUCUGGGCCGUAACUGACGCUGAGGAGCGAAAGCGUGGGGAGCGAACAGG
rnacentral:rRNA from 1 species